AUGGCUCAGAUUGAACGCUGGCGGCAGGCCUAAUACAUGCAAGUCGAACGGUAACAUAGGAAAAGCUUGCUUUUCCUGAUGACGAGUGGCGGACGGGUGAGUAAAGUUUGGGAAGCUACCUGAUAGAG
rnacentral:rRNA from 1 species